CCGCCGACGCUGCCUGCCAGCGGGCUUCAUGCCUGCCGUGAUGACCAUUAGUGUCUGGCUGCGGCUGCGGGAGAUAACAGGUGAUUUAGGGCCCUGCACCUUGACACAGCCAGAGAGAAAUAGCCAGCUGCUGCUUAUCUCACUCUUUGCCAUCCUCCACUCACUUUUACAUUAGGCUCCCCUAUUCAAAGCCAUCUGUCUUGCCGCUCAGGCUUCGAUAAAACCACUUCCAGAGAGGGCGUUCUUAUAGCGUCUUACCAUUUCGGAGCAACAGACGGAGGCGGUGCCAGCGGAAUGCUUUCUCCGCACUGAAUAAGAGCCCGGGGUGACGCAACGGGGGCUCGACGACAGGGGUUGCGCUCGCAAAGCUGCUGUACAUGAUGCAUGUGGUCCAUUACUUCCUCACCUCCGAAGCACAAGCAUUAAUCCUCCAUCUCCAGAUUCUGCGUUGCGUCUGUCACCAACAUCCAAGUUAAGUGGCGCCUCCUCCUCCUCCUCCUCCUCCCAGCAUAUUGAGACACAACCAACCAGGCUCCCAGGUGGCUCCAGGAUUAGGUUUAUGAUGCUGCUUCAUGGCUCAUCAGUCCAAGAGAAUGUGGCUCUGAGAUCUGUAUAAUUCGUGAGUAAUUCCGCAUCACAGUGAUUUGUCACACUGUCUUGUAGAUUGAGACAAGACACUUAAAUGCUGUCCUUAUGCAAACUGCAGAUGUGUUGCUGUGGUGAGGUGCGGCACCCACGUACAUUCAUACAUACAUUGCUCCUUUAAGCAGUCUUCCCCAGACAUGCAGUACUUAUCCAAACUUUCUCAACCCAAAGUGGAUAACGGGAGUUUUUACGUGGUCAACAAUUUUCACAUAGCGAAGCUUUUUAUCUUCAAGCACGCUCACGAUUUCAUUUCGUGUUUGUUGAAAUACAUUCAUUUAUAAAACAUUCAUAGGCAAGACCCCACACUAUCUUCGCUGUCCACUAACCAUGCAUACCACCACCCACCCUCACGCAGCAGUUUUAUUAAACUCUUUGUCUCCAAAGACCAAACUACUUUUGGUCGAUCUUCUUUUCAAAUUUCUGCCCCAAACAACUGGAACACUCUAAAACAAAUAAUACAACUCACCUCAUUUAUGCCAAUAUCAUUGUUCAGGGUUUCACCUGUUUUU